rnacentral:rRNA from 1 species
AUUGAACGCUGGCGGCAGGCUUAACACAUGCAAGUCGAGCGAGCGGCGGACGGGUGAGUAAUGUCUGGGAAACUGCCUGAUGGAGGGGGAUAACUACUGGAAACGGUAGCUAAUACCGCAUACCAUCAGAUGUGCCCAUAUGGGAUUAGCUAGGAGGUGGGUUAAUGGCUCACCUAGGCGACGAUCCCUAGCUGGUCUGAGAGGAUGACCGGACACACGGGAACGUAGACACGGUCCAGACUCCGACGGUAGGCAGCAGGGGGGAAGAUUGCACAAUGUGCGCAAGCCUGAUGCAGCCAGGCCGCGUGUAUGAAGAAGGCCUUCGGGUUGUAAAGUACUUUCAGCGGGGAGGCGUUACCCGCAGAAGAAGCACCGGCUAACUCCGUGCCAGCAGCCGCGGUAAUAC